rnacentral:misc_RNA from 1 species
GAUGAAGAACGUAACGAAAUGCGAUAAGUAAUGUGAAUUGCAGAAUUCAGUGAAUCAUCGAAUCUUUGAACGCACAUUGCGCCCCUUGGUAUUCCGAGGGGCAUGCCUGUUCGAGCGUCAUUACACCACUCAAGCUAUGCUUGGUAUUGGGCGUCGUCCUUAGUUGGGCGCGCCUUAAAGACCUCGGCGAGGCCACUCCGGCUUUAGGCGUAGUAGAAUUUAUUCGAACGUCUGUCAAAGGAGAGGAACUCUGCCGACUGAAACCUUUAUUUUUCUAGGUUGACCUCGGAUCAGGUAGGGAUACCCGCUGAACUUAAGCAUAUCAAUAAGCGGAGGA